AACUAGCCCUGAUUGUAGCGGCAUCUCCCGAUUUUUCAUCGGGAAUAUAGCGGAAAGCAGGAAAUAGC
rnacentral:sRNA from 1 species